rnacentral:lncRNA from 1 species
UGUGGGAUAUAUGAGUAUAUGAGGAGGUAGAGUAUUUUGUGGCAUUAAAUGUUUAACAUAUGUUUUGUGUGUCGGUGGACACAAUUCUUGACCGAAAAUUGAUUAUAGACUGUAAAAUCGCCCGUUUGUGAAUUUCGGUCAAUUUCUGUUUGGAAUUUGGAAAAAUUUUCUUCUGCAAAGUUGUAGAGAAUUGAAUUUCCCAUGGAAAGUCACGAGUUUCGAAUUUUUUUGAUAAACGAGCUAUUUUCUACGAAUUAUUGAAGUUUCAGAAGAUAAAAUAAUUUUUAUUAAAUAAUGGGCGGGACCCACUCUUAUUUGAACAUGUGGGCUGCUGGAAAU